CGAACAAUCGCGGAGAUUAUUCUCUGAGGAAAGUCCGAGCUCCAUAGGGCAAGGAUGCCGGAUAACGUCCGGUGGAGGCGACUCUAAGGAAAGUGCAACAGAAAAUUACCGCCCGCUUUUGCGGGUAAGGGUGGAAAGGUGAGGUAAGAGCUCACCGGCGGUAUGGAGACAUACCGACCGUGUAAACCCCAUCCGGAGCAACACCAUAAAGGGAAGAAUUAAGUCGGCCCGACGCUCUUCCGGGUUGGUGGCUACAGCUUUGCAGCAAUGCACUGCGCAGAUAGAUGAUUGUUCAAGACAGAACUCGGCUUACAGAUUUACUCG
rnacentral:RNase_P_RNA from 1 species